CGAUAAUGAUGCACCAACUGGUAAAGGGGAAUUCGGAUGCUAAUUAGCUUCCCUUUAGGACUUCCUUUGAGAAGUGCUUUUAAGCCGCCAGAGCAGCUGUCUGAUAUAGAAAAUAACAAAGCAGAGGAACUACAUCAGGAGAUCACACGAGAUACCUGUAGGACACGCCAUAAGAAAGAAAAGAGAAAUGGGAAAGAGGGUCACUCGCUCAUUUAAAGAAUCUGAAAGGUACACUUCGGAACCUGAGUCCGCAAUCUGCUGCCAGCCCUCAUUCCCUAGACUGUGUUCACUUGAGAAGCUCCUACUCCUUCAUCUCACAUGGCACCUGCAGCCUUGUGAGGGUUUUGGAAGAGCAAGACUGCUACCGAUGUGCUGAUGUUCCGAUCUCCCACAGUCCACAAAAAACAACCAACAUUUUAAUAGAAGAAGAAUUUAUCUUUAGUGCUGUGCAGUUUGGCUCAUUGCUUUCCACUGUAAGUGUGAAUGUGCUUUGAUCUCAACCAAUUACAGUAUUUAGUUCCAAUUUCUCAAAACAAUGAUUUCUGUACUGGCUUCCUAAGGACAGGAGGAACUUGCAAAUUGUAUUUUAAACAUUUGUUUCUGGACAGAUCCUAAGCCUUAGGUGAGGGCUUUUUGAGUUUAAAAAAAUAGAUUAUCCAUUGCUGAUGUUUCACAAACAUGCAUUUCUGGGUGAGCUGGGGAGGAGGGGGUUUACAAAAAAUUAUAAGAUCAAGCAGUCCUUGAUAUAAUUGCAUCCACCCGUGUGUUUCCGGAAAAUCAGCACCGUAUCUGGUACUGUUUUAAAACUCCAGAGUGUCAGACUCCAGCAGUGAAGCACUAGUCUAUCACCGUGUUACUGUGGAUUGACAUUGUGAAACCAAUUUCAAUUAGCACUCAAACAACAUCUUUAUUCACAGGGCCCAUUCAUGCAGCACGUGUGUGUCAAAUUAAACACUGUGAAUGAUUCA